rnacentral:tRNA from 1 species
GAGGGUACAGCUCAGAGGCAGAGAUGUGUGCUUCGCAUGCUCAGGUCCUGGGUUCGAUCCCCAGUACCUCCA